rnacentral:lncRNA from 1 species
AUGAGUAACGGGCAGCGUGCAAUGGAGCAGAAAGGUGUGCUCAGCAGAGGGGGAGGCAAUGGGAGAACCAGCAGUGAAAGCCCUUGCCAUUGCAGCACCAGAGCUGAGCUGGAGCUAGCCAGGCAUAUGGGUCAGCAUCGGAGAGCUGUAAACAGGGGCUCUGGAAUCGCGGGGUCUCAGGGAGACCGAGCGGGCAACCGGUAUGGCCAUUUUGUGCCCUCGCUGUGGCCAGAACACAAGGACUCUGAACACUGGUGUUACCGGGACCGAGACCAGCCUCUGAGGAGCAUGCACAUGAGUACAUGUGUGUGGCCACAAGCAGCUGGCAAGACACAUAUUCCCUGGGGCUGGAAGUGAUCCUGGUCUGGGAUAUAAGAGAAGAGAAACAAUCUGACACCACAAUGAGCCAUAUCCUUGCCACCAUCAGCGUACUAACAGGAUCCCUUUCCACAUCCAUUGCAAUGAACAGAACAAAUGACCCCCUCCGUCUUUCCACUCCCCACCAAACCUUCCCUCGCUUCUUGUGUUUGGUCCUUUCCCAGGCCUCCUGCCAACCAUCCAAGCCAUCAAUCAAUUAAGGGCCUCAUGACUGGGCCUGGAUGGACCUCACAUGACUCCCUAAACUGGGCUUGUUGUGGGAACCACCUGGUGCCCGUCAUCAUGGUGCGCUCAUGCCUCACUGGCACGUCCUGGUCAAGAAAUGUAGGGCGUGUACUGUCUCAGCCCUCCUCUCCGGACCUCCUGGUUGCUGCUCUUGCUCCUGCCACGUUGUCCUUUCAGAGGUUUUUGUUUCUUCCCUUCUGGCCCUGGAGCUAAAGUUUUUUUUUCGCUGGGCAUUGGCAUUGGUUUGGCAAGAUUAAGAGCCCUCACCCAGGCUGGGACUUUAAGGCAGAUGCCAUCAGGACUCCCCCACACAGGCAUGGAAGGGUUUGAUGUUGCAGUGGGUUCCUCUGCUCAACAUUUUGAUCAACGCCCCAUCCUUCCCCUCCUGGAGCCUUUCCAAGGGCUUUUACCCCUGGGUAGAAAGGAGGCUACUGCCCGUUUGAGCUCAGCCCCACACCACUGGCAUAAUGAUAAGCUGUACACUGUGGCUAAAGAUCAAAAGUCUGGACAGCUGACAUGCUGCCAAGGCCAUGCUUGGGACAGGGUAUCAUUACCUUGCUGAGAGUGGAGAGCCCUGGUCAGUCCAUCAACCCUCCAGGGCUGGCCUUUCUUCUCUGGGCACUGGCUUCCACCUGGUCCUGCUGGGGGAUGCUCCAUAGAGCAGAGACCCCCUCCCAGGUCAUCUCCUUCCCCCAUGCAUGAAGCAGCACCAUGCAGAGAGCUCUUUGGAGCCCAGCAGAGCCCACAACCCUGU